rnacentral:rRNA from 1 species
UACGUAGGGUGCGAGCGUUAAUCGGAAUUACUGGGCGUAAAGCGUGCGCAGGCGGUUUUGUAAGCCAGAUGUGAAAUCCCCGGGCUUAACCUGGGAAUGGCAUUUGGGACUGCAAGGCUCGAGUGCGGCAGAGGAGACUGGAAUUCCUGGUGUAGCAGUGAAAUGCGUAGAUAUCAGGAGGAACACCGAUGGCGAAGGCAGGUCUCUGGGCAUUAACUGACGCUGAGGAGCGAAAGCAUGGGGAGCGAACAGG